UUGGACUCGUCCCAGCCCUAUUGUCAAGCACUUUAGUCAUUUCAAAAUCAUCCCUGUCCUCAGAGGCGGAAUUCAUUCUUGAUGUUAUUUCAUAAAAAAACCCGUCAAUGAUUGUGCAUACAAUAUAAAAAGAUGCGCUAAUCUAUACCUCAUGAUAUAUAAACCUAUUUGGUUAUUAGAUCUAACCUAGACUUACUACAAGACAAGAACCAGAGUUCUGUAGCAUCGUUUUAGGAUGUUAUUCACGCUUUUGAUAAUUUAGGAAGCACUAACAUUGAUAAAAUAUAACAGCAAACAACAGUUUGAACAACAAAAACAUUUAUUUGUACAACUGAAACCAUAUGGAAAUAAAUAACAAGACGAAAAGUUAAUGAAUCCAACAAAAUAUCCUGGAACUUGUUCCAAGGAAAGCUUUAAACAUUGUUGCUGGAGGUGAAGACUCUUUUGACCACUCGGAUGACACGGGACAUCAUGGCUCUCAGGAAGGAUGGCUGGGAGGGUUUGUGUUUCUUUCUCACUGCCAAAAUCUCAAAAAAGUCAGUCUCAAGUUAAUGUCAACCAUAAUAUUGUCAUGACCAUCACAAAG